rnacentral:misc_RNA from 1 species
GAUGAAGAACGUAGCGAAAUGCGAUAAGUAGUGUGAAUUGCAGAAUUCAGUGAAUCAUCGAAUCUUUGAACGCACAUUGCGCCCUUUGGUAUUCCUUAGGGCAUGCCUGUUCGAGCGUCAUUUAAACCUUCAAGCUAAGCUUGGUGUUGGGUGACUGUCCGCUUCACGGCGGACUCGCCUCAAAAUUAUUGGCGGCCGGUACAUUGGAUUCGAGCGCAGCAGAAACGCGAACUCGGGCCCGUCGUAUUGGCUCCCAGAAGCUAUCUUCACAAUUUUGACCUCGGAUCAGGUAGGGAUACCCGCUGAACUUAAGCAUAUCAAUAAGCGGAGGA